GGGCCCUUGGGGUAGCUUGGUAUCCUUCAUGCUUGGGGUGCAUGUGACUCCAGUUCAAAUCUGGGGGGGCCCACCA
rnacentral:tRNA from 1 species